AGUGAACGCUGGCGGUAGGCCUAACACAUGCAAGUCGAACGGCAGCACAGGAGAGCUUGCUCUCUGGGUGGCGAGUGGCGGACGGGUGAGGAAUACAUCGGAAUCUACUCUGUCGUGGGGGAUAACGUAGGGAAACUUACGCUAAUACCGCUUACGACCUACGGGUGAAAGCAGGGGACCUUCGGGCCUUGCGCGAUUGAAUGAGCCGAUGUCGGCUUAGCUAGUUGGCGGGGUAAAGGCCCACCAAGGCGACGAUCCGUAGCUGGUCUGAGAGGAGGAUCAUCCACACUGGACCGGAGACACGGUCCAGACUCCUACGAGAGGCAGCAGUGGGGAAUAUUGGACAAUGGGCGCAAGCUUGAUCCAGCCAUACCGCGUGGGUGAAGAGGGCCUUCGGGUUGUAAAGCCCUUUUGUUGGGAAAGAAAUCCAGCUGGCUAAUACCCGGUUGGGAUGACGGUACCCAAAGAAUAAGCACCGGCUAACUUCGUGCCAGCAGCCGCCGUAA
rnacentral:rRNA from 1 species